GCAGCAUUAGUGUUUGUGAGUGUGAUCAUUACUACAUACAGCAUUAGUGUUUGUGAGUGUAAACUAACAUUACUAAGUAACACCAUGUUUUGCCACGAAUGAUUUUGCUGCUAUCAGAUAUCUUUUUAUGAUACCAAAUACCCAUACAAACAUGAAUAUGAUCUGGAGAAGGAGAAGAAUAACCCAUGACAGGUAAAACAUACAUACAAACAUACAUACAAACAUACAUAAAUACCCAGAAUAACCCAUGACAGCUCGAAAGCUUAUUUCCAAUGGGGUCCUUUGAUGCACGGUUGUUUGUGCUAGGGGGUCAUUUAUGUGGGAGGAAACCGGAGUACCCGUAG